rnacentral:rRNA from 1 species
UGGGGCGCAGCCUGAUCCAGCAAUGCCGCGUGCAGGAAGAAGGCCUUCGGGUUGUAAACUGCUUUUGUCAGGGAAGAAAUCUUCUGGGUUAAUACCUCGGGAGGAUGACGGUACCUGAAGAAUAAGCACCGGCUAACUACGUGCCAGCAGCCGCGGUAAUACGUAGGGUGCGAGCGUUAAUCGGAAUUACUGGGCGUAAAGCGUGCGCAGGCGGCUUUGCAAGACAGAUGUGAAAUCCCCGGGCUCAACCUGGGAACUGCAUUUGUGACUGCAAGGCUAGAGUACGGCAGAGGGGGAUGGAAUUCCGCGUGUAGCAGUGAAAUGCGUAGAUAUGCGGAGGAACACCAAUGGCGAAGGCAAUCCCCUGGGCCUGUACUGACGCUCAUGCACGAAAGCGUGGGGAGCAAACAGGAUUAGAUACCCUGGUAGUCCACGCCCUAAACGAUGUCAACUGGUUGUUGGACGGCUUGCUGUUCAGUAACGAAGCUAACGCGUGAAGUUGACCGCCUGGGGAGUACGGCCGCAAGGUUGAAACUCAAUGAAAUUUGACGGA